UAUGGCCACAUCACCUUGAAACACCGGUUCUCAUAUAAUCACCAAAGUUAAGCAAUGUUGAGCCUGGUCAGUACCUUGAUGGGGGAGUGUUUGGGAGUAACAGGCACUGU